UGGGGAAUAUUGCACAAUGGGCGCAAGCCUGAUGCAGCAACGCCGCGUGAGGGAUGACGGCCUUCGGGUUGUAAACCUCUUUUAGCAGGGAAGAAGCGAAAGUGACGGUACCUGCAGAAAAAGCGCCGGCUAACUACGUGCCAGCAGCCGCGGUAAUACGUAGGGCGCAAGCGUUAUCCGGAAUUAUUGGGCGUAAAGAGCUCGUAGGCGGUUUGUCGCGUCUGCUGUGAAAUCCCGAGGCUCAACCUCGGGUCUGCAGUGGGUACGGGCAGACUAGAGUGCGGUAGGGGAGAUUGGAAUUCCUGGUGUAGCGGUGGAAUGCGCAGAUAUCAGGAGGAACACCGAUGGCGAAGGCAGAUCUCUGGGUCGUAACUGACGCUGAGGAGCGAAAGGGUGGGGAGCAAACAGGCUUAGAUACCCUGGUAGUCCACCCCGUAAACGUUGGGAACUAGUUGUGGGGUCCAUUCCACGGAUUCUGUGACGCAGCUAACGCAUUAAGUUCCCCGCCUGGGGAGUACGGCCGCAAGGCUA
rnacentral:rRNA from 1 species